UUAAGCAUAUAAGUAAGCGGCGGACAAUAAACUAAACAGGACCCCCAUAGUAAUGGCGAAUGAGCAGGGAUGAGCUCAGCGUGGAAAUUGGGGCCUGAGGCCCUGACUUGUAGGCUGGUGAGGUGUUGCCAACAGAGGCGCAGAUGUAAGUCUUUUUGGAAAAGAGCAUCAAUGAGGGUGAGAAUCCUGCUUGCCAUUUGCAGACCCCUGUGCACGGUGUGCCCACAUCGAGUCACGUUCCUUGGGAUUGGAGCGCAAAGUGGGUGGUAACUUUCAUCUGAAGCUAAAUAUUGGUUGAAGACCGAUAGGAAACAAGUACCAUGAGGGAAAGAUGAAAAGGACUUUGGAAAGAGAGUUAAAAGUGCCUGAAAUUGCUGAAAGGGAAGCGAAUGGAGCCAGUGUGCCCGGGCGAGAUUGUCAUAUGUGAUAAUGAUCGGUUGCUGCUUCAUCGUAAGUGUUCUUGCAAUCAUUGAUCUAUGAGUGUGUGGUGUGUCUUGCCUUGAAUGUCAUCGCGGGCUUCUGUAUUACGACAAUUCAAAGUUCAGGGUAUUAUGUUUGUGAAGGUAUGAAUGUUCUUUGCUAUGCUUGUGCGCAAGCUUCUCUUGACUGUGUGUUUGCUGUGUGGCGCCCCAACACAGCGGGGCCACACACCAUUUCUACACAGCUGAUGACUAAAUGAUUCUAUUCGACCCGUCUUGAAC
rnacentral:rRNA from 1 species